ACCAAUUUGGGGUUGUGAAGAUGAAAAACAAGGGCAACGGCAGAGACUCGGCAGAAUAUCAUUUGGUAGAACAAUGUAAUAACACCUGCACCAUCUCAUACUCUGCUUGUUACUUGUCACCAGUACAGUACCUCAUUCUGAAUCAAGUUACUUUGGAAGCUGAAGAAGCAGAGUUGCUAGAGAAUUCGUUAAUCAUGGAAAAAAAAUGAUGGAGAUGGAACUGAAGAAUCUUGGGUAACUUGAAUCAGAACUGAUGUUCAUUUGAUGGAGAUCGGUCCAAAGCUACAGAUUUAAUAUGUAGUUGAAAACCAGGAGUGAGACGGCAUGUUGUCCCAGUACCAUGUCUGGACACUAUGAGAAAACUUCCACUUUGUAUCAAAUUUGUCAUUAAAUCCCACACCUCUA